GAUUAUGGCUCAGGAUGAACGCUAGCUACAGGCUUAACACAUGCAAGUCGAGGGGCAGCAUGAGAUUAGCUUGCUAAUCUUGAUGGCGACCGGCGCACGGGUGAGUAACGCGUAUCCAACCUUCCCCUUAGUAGGGCAUAGCCCGGCGAAAGUCGGAUUAAUACCCUAUGUUCUUCGUAGAGGACAUCUGAAAUGAAGCAAAGACUUGUCGCUAAGGGAUGGGGAUGCGUCUGAUUAGGUAGUCGGCGGGGUAACGGCCCACCGAGCCUGCGAUCAGUAGGGGUUCUGAGAGGAAGGUCCCCCACAUUGGAACUGAGACACGGUCCAAACUCCUACGGGAGGCAGCAGUGAGGAAUAUUGGUCAAUGGGCGCGAGCCUGAACCAGCCAAGUAGCGUGCAAGGAUGACGGCCCUAUGGGUUGUAAACUGCUUUUAUGCGGGGAUAAAGUGCACCACGUGUGGUGUUUUGUAGGUACCGCAUGAAUAAGGACCGGCUAAUUCCGUGCCAGCAGCGGC
rnacentral:rRNA from 1 species